rnacentral:rRNA from 1 species
CCUACGGGUGGCAGCCGUGAGGAAUAUUGGUCAAUGGGCGCGAGCCUGACCCAGCCAAGUAGCGUGAAGGAUGACUGCCCUACGGGUUGUAACCUUCUUUUAUAAAGGAAUAAAGUGAGGCACGUGUGCCUUUUUGUAUGUACUUUAUGAAUAAGAAUCGGCUAACUCCGUGCCAGCAGCCGCGGUACUACGGAGGAGACGAGCGUUAUCCGGAUUUAAUGGGUUUAAAGGGAGCGUAGAUGGGUUGUUAAGUCAGUUGUGAAAGUUUGCGGCGCAACAGUAAAAUUGCAAUUGAUACUGGCAGUCUUGAGUACAGUUGAGGUAGGCGUAAUUCGUGGUGUAGCGGUGAAAUGCUUAGAUAUCACGAAGAACUCCGAUUGCGAAGGCAGCUUACUAAACUGCCACUGACAUUGAUGCUCGAAAGUGUGGGUAUCAAACAGGAUUAGAUACCCUUGUAGUC